UUAUGGUCAUAUCAUGGUGAAGUGCAGGUUCUCAUAGGAUCACCAAAGUUAAGCAAUGUUGAGCCUGGUCAGUACCUAGAUGGGUGACCACUUGGGAAUACCAGGUGCUGUA